rnacentral:rRNA from 1 species
CUGUACUGCGGUAUGACAGAACUGUGGGGACACGUAAGGAGAGCGGAAGCCGGGAAUGGAAAGCCCGGUGCAAGCGGGGUACCAGUCACUUUGGCAAAUCCGGGUGGCAAUGGGAAGCCGUGAUGCGGAGCGAAAUAAAGUAGUGAAGUCCGUGAGCCAUGCGUCAAGAAAAGCCGCUAUUGUUUAUACCGUACCCGUACCGUAAACCGACACAGGUGGAUGAGGAGAGAAUCCUAAGGCCGGCGGAAGAAGCAUUGUCAAGGAACUCGGCAAAAUGGCCCCGUAACUUAGGGAUAAGGGGUGCCUGGGAAACCAGGCCGCAGAGAAUAGGCUCAAGCAACUGUUUAGCAAAAACACAGGUCUAUGCGAAACCGAAAGGUGAGUAUAUGGGCUGACGCCUGCCCGGUGCUGGAAGGUUAAGAGGAGAGGUUAGCGGUAACGCGAAGCUUUGAAUUUAAGCCCCAGUAAACGGCGGCCGUAACAAUAACGGUCCUAAGAUAGCGAAAUUCCUUGUCGGGUAAGUUCCGACCCGCACGAAAGGCGUAAUGAUUUGAGCGCUGUCUCGACAAUGCAUCCGGUGAAAUUGAAGUACCAGUGAAGAUGCUGGUUACCUGCGCCAGGACGGAAAGACCCCAUGGAGCUUUACUCCAGUCUGGUACUGGGACUCGGUAUUGCAUGUACAGGAUAGGUGGGAGGCUAGGAGAUGGUAACGCCAGUUGCCAUGGAGCCGCUGUUGGGAUACCACCCUUGCUGUAUUGGGUUUCUAACCAGCCGCCGUGACCCGGCGGUGGGACAAUGCCAGACGGGGAGUUUGACUGGGGCGGUCGCCUCCGAAAGGGUAUCGGAGGCGCCCAAAGGUUCCCUCAGAAUGGACGGAAACCAUUCGAAGAGUGCAAAGGCAGAAGGGAGCUUGACUGCGACACCGACGGGUGGAGCAGGUACGAAAGUAGGGCUUAGUGAUCCGGUGGUAUUAAGUGGGAAUGCCAUCGCUCAACGGAUAAAAGCUACCCUGGGAUAACAGGCUUAUCACUCCCAAGAGUUCACAUCGACGGAGUGGUUUGGCACCUCGAUGUCGGCUCAUCGCAUCCUGGGGCUGUAGUAGGUCCCAAGGGUUGGGCUGUUCGCCCAUUAAAGCGGUACGCGAGCUGGGUUCAGAACGUCGUGAGACAGUUCGGUCCCUAUCCGGCGUGGGCGUAGGAUAUCUGAGAGGAGCUGUCCUUAGUACGAGAGGACCGGGAUGGACGGGCCGCUGGUGCAUCGGUUAGACUGCCAAGUCUACGGCCGAGUAGCCAAGCCCGGAAGGGAUAAACGCUGAAGGCAUCUAAGCGUGAAGCCCCCCUUAAGAUGAGAUAUCCCAUUCGAAAGAAGUAAACCCCCUUGAAGACGACGAGGUAGAUAGGGCAGAGGUGGAAGUGCAGCAAUGCAUGGAGCUGACUGUUACUAAUCGGGUGAGGGCUUGACC